ACGCAUCGAAAGAUGUGCUAAUACCGCAUAAUAUCUAAGGAGGAAAGUGGGGGAUCGAAAGACCUCAUGCUUUUGGAGCGGCCGAUGUCUGAUUAGCUAGUUGGUAAGGUAAUGGCUUACCAAGGCAACGAUCAGUAGUUGGUCUGAGAGGACGACCAGCCACACUGGGAUUGAGACACGGCCCAGACUCCUACGGGAGGCAGCAGUGGGGAAUUUUGGACAAUGGGCGCAAGCCUGAUCCAGCAAUGCCGCGUGAGUGAAGAAGGCCUUCGGGUUGUAAAGCUCUUUCAGUUGAGAAGAAAAAAUUCUGGCUAAUACCCAGAAUUCAUGACGGUAUCGACAGAAGAAGCACCGGCUAACUACGUGCCAGCAGCCGCGGUAAUACGUAGGGUGCAAGCGUUAAUCGGAAUUACUGGGCGUAAAGGGUGCGCAGGUGGUUUUGUAAGUCAGAUGUGAAAUCCCCGGGCUUAACCUGGGAAUUGCGUUUGAAACUACAAGACUAGAGUGUGGCAGAGGGGGGUGGAAUUCCAUGUGUAGCAGUGAAAUGCGUAGAGAUAUGGAAGAACAUCGAUGGCGAANGCAGCCCCCUGGGUUAACACUGACACUCANGCACGAAAGCGUGGGGAGCAAACAGGAUUAGAUACCCUGGUAGUCCACGCCCUAAACUAUGUCAACUAGUUGUUGGGUCUUAUUAGACUUGGUAACGAAGCUAACGCGUGAAGUNGACCGCCUGGGGAGUANGGUCGCAAUUAAAACUCAAAGGAANUGANNGGGACCCGCACAAGCGGUGGNUUAUGUGGAUU
rnacentral:rRNA from 1 species